rnacentral:rRNA from 1 species
AUUGAACGCUGGCGGCAUGCUUUACACAUGCAAGUCGGACGGCAGCACAGAGAAGCUUGCUUCUUGGGUGGCGAGUGGCGAACGGGUGAGUAACAUAUCGGAACGUACCGAGCAGUGGGGGAUAACUAAUCGAAAGAUUAGCUAAUACCGCAUAUCUUCUGAGGAAGAAAGCAGGGGACCAUUUGGCCUUGCGCUGUUUGAGCGGCCGAUAUCUGAUUAGCUAGUUGGUGGGGUAAAGGCCUACCAAGGCGACGAUCAGUAGCGGGUCUGAGAGGAUGAUCCGCCACACUGGGACUGAGACACGGCCCAGACUCCUACGGGAGGCAGCAGUGGGGAAUUUUGGACAAUGGGCGAAAGCCUGAUCCAGCCAUGCCGCGUGUCUGAAGAAGGCCUUCGGGUUGUAAAGGACUUUUGUCAGGGAAGAAAAGGGCGGGGUUAAUACCCCUGUCUGAUGACGGUACCUGAAGAAUAAGCACCGGCUAACUACGUGCCAGCAGCCGCGGUAAUACGUAGGGUGCGAGCGUUAAUCGGAAUUACUGGGCGUAAAGCGGGCGCAGACGGUUACUUAAGCAGGAUGUGAAAUCCCCGGGCUCAACCUGGGAACUGCGUUCUGAACUGGGUGACUAGAGUGUGUCAGAGGGAGGUAGAAUUCCACGUGUAGCAGUGAAAUGCGUAGAGAUGUGGAGGAAUACCGGUGGCGAAGGCAGCCUCCUGGGAUAACACUGACGUUCAUGCCCGAAAGCGUGGGUAGCAAACAGG